rfam:Mycobacterium sp. MOTT36Y, complete genome.
UUUGAUCGACCCCAGCCACAGCGGCCGGUCCACGGGCCGGUCCUGCCCGUAGGUCGCCAGAAGCGCUUGCGCCUC